AAAGGACGAGGACUUCCUGACCAGAGAGUCAAAACUUACUAUAGGUGUCCCAUUGAGCUUGUUUACAUGUGCGAUUAGCAUUUGCACCCAACAUAUCCGUAUUGUCCUCGUGCUUUGUCUCAUUUCUAGUUAAAGGCAGAGUUGUCUACUCACCUGACUGGCGGUGGCACUCCAGAAAAGGUUUUUCGCUAUGCGUUCUGACUGAACUUUUUAAACAAAUGGAAUCAUCAGGGUUUGAUUCUACUUUAUACUACCGUUGAGCUAUGCUAAUGUUGUUGUAAGACAUCAGUUGAAUGAUAAACGGAUUGAUACAUAACCAACAGUCCCUAUCUAAUAGGGUACCAAGAAUUAUUGCUAUGUUCAUUUGCAUGUUUUGGGCUGCAAGCUUAUAUUUACACACCCUUACUCAGGUGAGGUAAUUUCCAUUGAGUUCAUCAAGAAGAAAACUUAGGAUGGCAGACCAAAUAAUCUCCAUGUUACAAGCACACCAUCACACCUUACAGACUGACAAGGAAAUACCUUUGAGACUCAUACCAAAUUCAAGACGAUCAGGACACCAAGACAGCUAAAGAUCAGG